GAUGAACGCUGGCGGCGUGCCUAAUACAUGCAAGUAGAACGCUGAAGGAGGAGCUUGCUCUUCUGGAUGAGUUGCGAACGGGUGAGUAACGCGUAGGUAACCUGCCUGGUAGCGGGGGAUAACUAUUGGAAACGAUAGCUAAUACCGCAUGACAACAGUUAUUGCAUGAUAACUGUUUAAAAGGGGCAACUGCUCCACUACCAGAUGGACCUGCGUUGUAUUAGCUAGUUGGUGAGGUAACGGCUCACCAAGGCGACGAUACAUAGCCGACCUGAGAGGGGGGUCGGCCACACUGGGACUGAGACACGGCCCAGACUCCUGCGGGGGGAAGCAGUAGGGAAUCUUCGGCGAUGGACGGGAGUCUGACCGAGCAAAGCCGCGGGAGUGAAGAAGGUUCUCGGAUCGUAAAGCUCUGUUGUAAGAGAAGAACGAGUGUGAGAGUGGAAAGUUCACACUGUGACGGUAUCUUACCAGAAAGGGACGGCUAACUACGUG
rnacentral:rRNA from 1 species